rnacentral:rRNA from 1 species
AGCAGCCGCGGUAAUUCCAGCUCCAAUAGCGUAUAUUAAAGUUGUUGCAGUUAAAAAGCUCGUAGUUGAAUUUUUGAUUCUACCAUUUGGUCCAUCUUUUGAUGAGUACUGAUUGUGUGGGGUCUAUCUGCCUGGUAAUACGUAAUGUCCUUUAUUGGAUGUUGCGGGUAGCCAGGACCUUUACCUUGAAAAAAUUAGAGUGUUUAAAGCAGGCUUAUGCCGGAAUACAUUAGCAUGGAAUAAUAGAAUAGGACGAAGUUGUUUUAUUUUGUUGGUUUCUAGGACAACCGUAAUGAUUAAUAGGGAUAGUUGGGGGCAUUAGUAUUCAAUUGUCAGAGGUGAAAUUCUUGGAUUUAUUGAAGACUAACUACUGCGAAAGCAUUUGCCAAGGAUGUUUUCAUUAAUCAAGAACGAAAGUUAGGGGAUCGAAGACGAUCAGAUACCGUCGUAGUCUUAACCAUAAACUAUGCCGACUAGGGAUCGGGCGAUGUUGUUUCCAUGACUCGCUCGGCACCUUAUG